ACUGAAACUACUACAUGCAAGCAAGCAUGCAUGGAGAAAGAAAAGAACGAAGAGAAAGAAAGACUCAACUUUGAAGGAUAGGAGAAACUCCAUAAUGAAGACAAAUUCUCAACUCCAUGAGAAAAGAGUAAAACUUUAAUUGAUGUGUUAAGAGAUUUAUUGCAUUUCUUCUUAUUGUCAGAAGAUUCUAAUUUUAAAAUUGACUUCUUUUUCAGGAAACAUGACAGAUGAUAUUUUGUUUACUAUCACAUUAAGAGCAGUGUAUCAAUGUUGUUUAUAUGUGUUCAUUAUGUAAUUUAUAAUGAAGAUAAAUAAUCUGAUAAAUAAUUGGAGGAAAACUCAAGUCAAUAUCAAAAAAAAGCAAAUUCUCCAAAGUAACAUAACCCAGUUGUGAAAUAAAUAAUAAUAUAUUCAAGUUGAUAAAACAAAUAUAUAACUUAAACUCUUUAUUAUUCUCUACAGUAAAGACCAGAUUAUAAUCAAGUAUAAACCAUUAAAAAAUUUACCAGAUAUAAUUUUUUGAUUAUUUCAGUUUUUCAAAUGGCAUUUAUUGUCUAAAAGAUUAAUUUAUUUUAUUUUACCUCCAUAUAUGAAUACCCCUUAAAGGUCUUUUGAAAUAUUGGCCAAAAACAACAACAACAACAAAAAUGUAUGGGCAUAAUUUCAGGUUGUUCAAGCUUUUAAAUAGAACUGAACAUUCAGUGCUUGUAUUGUAAUAUUAUGGUAUUACUCAGUUUUGUUUCAUUAACAAAGAAGUCUCAAAUCUCAGUGAUUUAAACAAAACAUUUAUUUUCAGAUUAUAUUAAUCAUGAGCAAUUCAAGUUCAGCUAUUUAAUUUGCUCCACACUUCUUUUUCUGAAAUUGAUGUUGAAAUUUGAGCCCUUAUUUGGAACUUGUUGCCCUUGAGGACACGUGAAAAGGGCAAGGGGCAAAAACAUGAGAUUCCUUUAAAAGUCUCAGCUUAGAACUAGCACCUUGUCACUUCUGCUCACAUUGGUUCCAGAAAGCCACAUGACAAUGCCAGAAAAUGAGGUAAGGAAGGAUGCUCUGCGUAUGUGUGACAUUGGGAGGGGAUGCUUGAUCUUCUAACAGAGAAGAGAAUGAAUUAGUUGCUGAGAAAAAUCAUAUAAUCCAUUAUUGAAGUAUUUUUAAUUUCCUGCUUCCAUUCCAGUAUAUUUUUGAAAAUAUUUAUGAUCUUUUAAUUAUCCUAAUAACUUUCCUUCUCCACUAGCAUUAAUAGUGCUUUUAAAAUAUAUAUGCUUGGGAAACACUUGUAAGUUGAAUUAAAAGGGAAAGUAAUUAUGAAUAAGCUAUAGGGUCUAUCUCUGCCUAAUUCAGUUAUUGCUCUUACUCUUUCCACUUGUCCUUUGAUACUGAAUACAAAGAAAAAAAGUAAAGGAAGAGAAAAACAACCAGCUUGAUGUUCUAGGAAACGUUGAUCAUUUUCUAAAACAAUAUAAGCCUGUAUGUUCACAACUGAUGGACACAAUAAUGUUCUCGCCAUGUGAGCAGAAAGGAUGAGAUUUGUAGGGUCACAAUUUAUAAAAGCUCUGCGUCCUGUUGACAGAGUCUAGAGGGACAUUCAAAUAUGAAAUUGGGAGUCUUAGUAGUCCCAGGGUGGAAAAUUUCUAUAAUUGGGACUCGCACUGAGAAUAUAAAGAACAUUAAAAUGCCAUUAACUUCAACUAUUCGCACUCUGAUAACACAUUGAAACUAAUUAUUAUGACAUUAUAGAAAUAUGUGUAGUAUCCAAAUGCUCUCUAAGUUAUUUACGAAAGUGAAUAUAAAAGUGCAUUUGGUAGCAGAGAGCACGUUAACUUUAUUGUAGAAUAAAAAGCCACCUUACUCCAUGUAGAGAAAAUUCAGUAUAAUGUAUUUGAUCUAUAUUCAUUAUUCUAACGAAUAUCAUGGCCAACUGAAUUUAUUGAAAGUGAAUGACUUUCAAAUGGACUGAUUUCAGAGGACUAAAAACUGGAGUAGAAGCAUGAGAAGAAAUUGAGAGUAGUAUACCUCAGUUACUUAUUACUUGUUUUAUUUUCUUCAAUUACCAUUUGUCGCUGUGUUUUUUCUCUUUAUAUGUUGCCUUUUGACUGGCAUUGCUUUGAUAUCCUGAACAGACAGCUGCUGCCAAGUUUACCAAAAGUGAAAUGUUGCAAACUGCCAAUUGAGUUUUUAAUGUUUUGUUUUCUGUUAGUGUUGUUAAAAUCAUGAAAUUAUUUUCUAACAAA
ensembl:lncRNA novel transcript